AUGUUCUGCUCGGGAUCCCAUCAGAGCGUGGCCCAGAGGAGCUGGUGCUGCUGCCAACCCUCAGCGGUGCCACAGCAGCCAGGCACCAAGAGACAGCGUGGCACUAUGAGCAUAUCCCAGCCCUCAGCCAUGCUGAGCAUGCAUGGAAAUAGCAGUGCUGCAUCUCCUGCUAACCCAGCGGGACAACAAGGGCUGCUUCACGGGGAGGUGACACAGAGGUGGCUGCAGAUGAGGCAGCUCGAGGAGAGAAGCCACCUGCCGAGGCCACCAGCUGUUCCUGUCCCAGAUCUGAGCCAAACUGUGGGUCCCAGACCCAAGAGAGCAAGGCACGGAGCUUGGAUCCAUGAACCUCUGGGAGCCAUUGGAUGGGGAACUCAACUUCAGUGCUCAGAAUGUGUGCUGGGAGGGACUGAGGAGCAGCUGUGGAGCUCUGUGUCUUACCAUCAUUAUGACUGGGGGAGAAGAAUCCAAACACAAAUGACCUCAUGCUGCAGUCAGCCCUGA
rnacentral:lncRNA from 1 species